AACACUGUUAACCUGCGGUACCUGCGGAAGGAUCAUUACUGUGAUUUACUACUACACUGCGUGAGCGGAACGAAAACAACAACACCUAAAAUGUGGAAUAUAGCAUAUAGUCGACAAGAGAAAUCUACGAAAAAACAAACAAAACUUUUAACAAUGGAUCU
rnacentral:misc_RNA from 1 species